rnacentral:lncRNA from 1 species
UGCCAUUAGCUACUAGGAAAAACCCCCUCUAGAUACGUUGUAGUAGUAACGUAGUCUAAAAGCGUCUCUACGUCGACACAUAAAGAUGUGUUUUGACACGAUUUUGAAAACGUUUCGGACUGUUACGAUAUUAGACAUGCUUAUAGUGUUAGGUCCUGUUUGUUUCCACCCUCCUAAAAAUUUAGCUCCUAAAAAGUGACUAAAAUGUGACUAAAGAGCCAAACACUCCUCCUAAAAAGUGACUAAAAAGUUUUAGGAGGCUCAAAACUUUUAGUCCCCUCACCCCCUCCUAAAACCUCUUAAAACCAGUGCUAGACUCCCACUACCCCUUCUUUAUUGCCUCUACCCCCGCACCCUCCUCCUGACCGCACCCUUCCCGACCCCACCGCCGCUCCCUCCCUCCUCCACGCUGGCACCCGCGGCCUCUCACUGGCGGCCGUGCCAUCCCCCGCUAGAUCCGCCGUCCCCGCUCCCUUGCGCCACCACACGGGCCAGCCGGGCGCUCCCCCGCCGGAUCCCCGCCACCACCGGAUCCGGGCGAGGGAGGACCAGGAGGGGGGUGGCGGUGCCGGGGAAGA